CUGUUAUGCUUUCAUAGUCGUGCAAUGCCUCAUGGGACAUGUAGUUCCACAACAACCGGAGUGCCAAGUGUUGCCUACUCCUGCAGUAG